AGCUUCUCGGCUGCUUUGUUUACCUAAGCAAGCCUGGGCAAUGGCGGGCGCCCCUCCCCCAGCCUCGCUGCUGCCUUGCAGUUUGAUCUCAGACUGCUGUGCUAGCAAUCAGCGAGAUUCCGUGGGCGUAGGACCCUCCGAGCCAGGUGUGGGAUAUAGUCUGGUGGUGCGCCGUUUUUUAAGCCGGUCUGAAAAGCGCAAUAUUCGGGUAGGAGUGACCCGAUUUUCCAGGUGCGUCCGUCACCCCUUUCUUUGACUCGGAAAGGGAACUCCCUGACCCCUUGCGCUUCCCAAGUGAGGCACUGCCUCGCCCUGCUUCGGCUCGCGCACGGUGCGCGCACCCACUGGCCUGUGCCCACUGUCUGGCACUCCCUAGUGAGAUGAACCUGGUACCUCAGAUGGAAAUGCAGAAAUCACCGUCUUCUGCGUCGCUCACGCUGGGAGCUGUAGACCGGAGCUGUUCCUAUUCGGCCAUCUUGGCUCCUUAUUCUCAUGACCUUCUUGAGUUGUGGCUCAGACACUACAACAGAGCUCCGUCACCUCUUUCUAAAAGCUGGGAAAUGGUUAUUGUCAACGCCAGCCCCAUUUUGGAGGCACCUGGCUGCAGGGGACCACAGCUAGCUGGGUGCGGUGGCUCAGGACUGUAAUUCCAGCUACAUGAGAGGAUUGCUUGAAGCCAGGAGUUUGAGACCAGCCUGAACAACAUAAUAGACUGGGAGCUCCAUGAGGUCCGAGACAACCUGAAGACGCCCAGCUCAGCAGAGACUGGCUACGGCAGUCACUCAGUAACUAUUUGUUGAAUUGGACAUAAUAGAAGAGCUGAAGAAUUUUAAACAAGUCACCAUCAGUCCAGUGGAUUCCUCAAAGCAAACCUGGAAAUCUCAGCAUGAGUUGGAUUUAAGGCAGUACAUUUUCAGCUCCUGAAAAUUUGAACAGUUUCUCAAGAGAACAACUUGAAACAGAAAGGCAAGGAUGUAGAUAUGGUUGUAGAAGAUGAUGUCUGCAGCCACCAAACUGUCCACUGUGAAGAUAAACCAUGCAUGUUUAGUAGGCAGUGCUCCUCUUCCCUGUGGGGAGUCCCACUGCUUCCCUGGCCUGGGUGUUCUCUGCCGGUAGAUGUUAUUGACAAAAUAAGCAAAGUCCUCUGAUUCUGAGAAUUAGAGUUAAUGAUAGCUCUAGAUUGCCUCUGCCAUGCUAUUUAAAGUCCUGCUUUAUUGUCUGACAUGUGUUCGGCAUCUGUGAGGACUUGUCCAGUGCAAAGUACAAUCUCCACUGAAAGAUAUCACCAGCACAUCUUGUCACUGUGCUGCAGCAAGCUGGGCAGUACAAUGAUGUUGGCAGGAUCCUGUUUAGGUGGAGGAUGGCCACCUGGGCAUCAAGAAUCUUCUACCUUGAUUCCACAUUGAUUCCCCAAAGUGGGCUUCAGACAGCUCUUCACUUACAUCUUCUGAUUAAAGCAGCAGACAGGGUCCCAGCUAGAGAAAAGUUCUGGGAGCAGGAGAGGUGUUGGUGGCUUUAAAACCAGGGGUGAAGAUUGAAUUAGGAGGUUAGGCAGGAGUAGGAUCAAAGACUUAGAAAUUGCUUGUUUCCUCCUGUUAUUCUUAUGAGAGCUGAUACGGGGCUUUCAGUUUUGGGGGAGAGCCUUGGAAGAGAAUGAGGGAAUUUAAUCAACUAGCGGGACCUUUCCAACUUACAUUUCCCAGUGUUUGUUGGAUGAUACGUUUGCCUAAUAAGUUAAAGCUUCCAAAAAUAGAAAGGAAAGCUUGGUGACACUAAGCUCUGGCAUGCUGUCAUCUUCUGGCUAGGGGUCUUGUGCUUCUGUUUUUCUAUUUCUGACCGAGGACAUGAAAUGUGUUGUGACCUCUCAGAUAAUGCUGUGGUAUCAUGUCCAAGCAGUAACUAACCAGAGUGGAGUUUUUACAGGUAAAAAAGUAUUGAAUAGCUCAGCAACAGGGAGGAUUUAAUGAUAAAUUGCUUUUUCAGAAAAUGACAAGGGGACAGACACUUGCGGUUCUUCCAUUGAGAGCCUUAAGGAAGUUAAGCGAAGCCUCUGCUCACCCCUUCAAGUAACGAUGACCCAUCAGAUUGUAGUCAUAACCAGUAGCAUCUGAGGCACCCCUAAACUCUCUGGGCCCCAGAUUCCUUGUUAAGUUAAAUGAGGUGACUUCCCAGUUUACCAUUCCAGGGGUUCCUGAGGAGUUAGAAAUGAAGGAGAAAAUGCAACAUGUACCAAGUGAGCAAGAGCUCAAGGCUUAUCUCUGGCAUGAAAGUGACCGCUGUCCAUUAGAGAUGUGCUUGCCCUAGAUUUCCUUUAGGAAAUGCAAACAUUGAACUCUGACCUUCAGGACCCAAGCCCCGGCUUGCAUCUAUUCUAUACACUUUCUGUUAUUUGUUAGGGCUCACAAGGAACAGUUAUUUAUUUUUUAUUUUCUAUUUUUUUUUUUUUAGAGAUGGAGUCUCACUCUGUCUCCCAGGCUGGAGUUUAGUGGUGCCAUCUCAGCUCACUGCAACCUCCACCUCCCGGGUUCAAGCAAUUCUCCUGUCUCAGCCUCCUGAGUAGCUAGGACUACAGGCGUGUGCCAUCAUGCCCGGCUAAUUUUUAGUAUUUUUAGUAGAGGCAGGGUUUCACCAUAUUGGCCAGGCUGGUCUCGAACUCCUGAUCUCAAGUGAUCUACCCUCCUUGGCCUCCCAAACUGCUGGAAUUACAGAUGUGAGCGACCACACCCAGCCCAUUUGUUUUCUUUCAAACCCUUCUGUAAGACCAGGGCUUUAGGUGAACACGUGGACAGAACAAGAUCAUCACUAUUUUGCAAUAUGAAGACCAACUGCACUGUGACCAGAAAACACAGAGGCAAAAUGUUGAGCUUAAUGAUACCUUUUUAUAAUUUGUAUUUGGUGUUUCUCAAUUUUCCAUUGGAUAGUUUGAGAGAUAAGUACAAGUCAAUGACAUGUUCUCUUUCGUACCCUAUUGUCUAAUCCUGCUAACACACACACACACACACACUGAUUACCUAAUUUAUCUGUUCUCCGAUUAUUACACUCUCAAUUGCUGCAGAGUCUCAGAAGCAGCAUGGUGUAACAGAAAGAAUAUGAGGCUUAGAAUCCAAAAGCCAGAGUGUGAAUUCCAGCUCCACUGACUUGCUGCGUGACUUGAAGCAAGUCAUUACGUGUCUCUGUUUACUCAUUUUAUUACCUUCCUAUUGCCUCUGUAAUAUAGCACCACAAACGUGUGGACUUAAAACAACAUGCAUUUAUUCUCUUAGUGUUCUGGAGGUCAGGAGUCUGACAUCAAUUUCACUGGGCUAAAAUCAAGAUGUUGGUAGGACCAAGAUCCCCGUGGAGGCUCUGGGAGAACCCAUUUCCUUGCCUUUGCCAGCUUCUAAUGCUGCAUUCCUUGCAUUCCUUGAUUGUUGACCUCUUCCCCCAUCUUCAAAGCCAGCAGAACAGCACCUUGUUUCAUGGCCUUCUUUACUGUCAAAUCUCCCUCUGCCUUCUUCUUAUAAGAACACUUGUGGUUGCAUUUAGAGGCUGUGAUAAUCCAGAAUAAUAUCUUUAUCUCAAGAUCUUUGACUUAGUCUCUUCUGCAAAGUCUCUUUUGCCACAGAGGGAAAUAUUCACAGGUCCCAGGGGUCAGGCUGUGUACAUCUUUGGGGGACUUUAUUCUGCCUACCACACUCAUCUUUUUUUUUUUUUUUUUGGAUGGAGUCUCGCUCUGUCACCCAGGCUGGAGUGCAGUGGCAUGAUCUCGGCUCACUGCAACUUCUGCCUCCCCAGUUCAAGCAAUUCUCCUGCCUCAACCUCCCAAGUAGCUGGAAUUACAGGCGCCUGCCACCACGCCCGGCUACUUUUUGUACUUU